rnacentral:rRNA from 1 species
GACGAACGCUGGCGGUGUGCUUAACACAUGCAAGUCGAACGGUAAGGCCCUUCGGGGUACACGAGUGGCGAACGGGUGAGUAACACGUGGGUGAUCUGCCCUGCACUUCGGGAUAAGCCUGGGAAACUGGGUCUAAUACCGGAUAGGACCCUGGGAUGCAUGUCCUGGGGUGGAAAGCUUUUGCGGUGUGGGAUGGGCCCGCGGCCUAUCAGCUUGUUGGUGGGGUGAUGGCCUACCAAGGCGACGACGGGUAGCCGGCCUGAGAGGGUGACCGGCCACACUGGGACUGAGAUACGGCCCGGACUCCUACGGGAGGCAGCAGUGGGGAAUAUUGCACAAUGGGCGCAAGCCUGAUGCAGCGACGCCGCGUGAGGGAUGACGGCCUUCGGGUUGUAAACCUCUUUCAGCACCGACGAAGCGCAAGUGACGGUAGGUGCAGAAGAAGGACCGGCCAACUACGUGCCAGCCGCCGCUGUAA